GUCGGCAUCAAUCUCUGGGAGGACCCACUCCUUCUUGGACCAGACGCCGGAGCCAUAGGGCCAGGUGGUGCGGCCGACGCGGGAGUCGAAGAGAGCGCGCCACUCGGGGCCGGAGACCUUCUUGAGGGCGUCCAUGUCGUGCUGGACGUCUAGGAGACCGCCGGACUGGCUACGGUAGACGAUCUCGUCGAGGGAGUAGUGCUCAUCGGAGUUGGGGGAACCGAAGGGGACGUAG
rnacentral:misc_RNA from 1 species